rnacentral:rRNA from 1 species
GUCGAGCGGUAGAGAGGAGCUUGCUCCUCUUGAGAGCGGCGGACGGGUGAGUAAUGCCUAGGAAUCUGCCUGGUAGUGGGGGAUAACGUUCGGAAACGGACGCUAAUACCGCAUACGUCCUACGGGAGAAAGCAGGGGACCUUCGGGCCUUGCGCUAUCAGAUGAGCCUAGGUCGGAUUAGCUAGUUGGUGAGGUAAUGGCUCACCAAGGCGACGAUCCGUAACUGGUCUGAGAGGAUGAUCAGUCACACUGGAACUGAGACACGGUCCAGACUCCUACGGGAGGCAGCAGUGGGGAAUAUUGGACAAUGGGCGAAAGCCUGAUCCAGCCAUGCCGCGUGUGUGAAGAAGGUCUUCGGAUUGUAAAGCACUUUAAGUUGGGAGGAAGGGCAGUAAAUUAAUACUUUGCUGUUUUGACGUUACCGACAGAAUAAGCACCGGCUAACUCUGUGCCAGCAGCCGCGGUAAUACAGAGGGUGCAAGCGUUAAUCGGAAUUACUGGGCGUAAAGCGCGCGUAGGUGGUUUGUUAAGUUGGAUGUGAAAUCCCCGGGCUCAACCUGGGAACUGCAUUCAAAACUGACUGACUAGAGUAUGGUAG